rnacentral:rRNA from 1 species
UACGUAGGGUGCGAGCGUUGCCCGGAUUUAUUGGGCGUAAAGGGCGCGCAGGCGGCCACGCACGUCCGUUGUGAAAUCGCCCGGCUCAACUGGGCGGGGUCAGCGGAUACGGCGUGGCUGGAGCAAGCUAGGGGGCAAUGGAAUUCCCGGUGUAGUGGUGGAAUGCGUAGAUAUCGGGAGGAACACCAGUGGCGAAGGCGGUUGCCUGGAGCUUUGCUGACGCUGAGGCGCGAAAGCGUGGGGGAGCGAGUCCGG